AUGACACAAAUUUGUCGUGCUUGGCUCUGGACCGGAGAGGAUACAUGUAGUGGCAGCCACUGUAGGGUGGCCUGGAGCCUGCUGUGCCGUCCAAAGCACUUAGGUGGUCUGGGAGUCAUGGACUUUGGAAAAUUUGGCCUCGCCUUAAGGUUGAGAUGGAUGUGGCUGGCAUGGCGCGAACCGGACAGACCAUGGGCGCAAGGCCCGCUUCCAUGUGAUUCUGUCGAGCAGGAGCUUUUC
rnacentral:rRNA from 1 species